CCCUGCUCCCCUGCAUAUCCCCGACUCUCCCUACCCCACUCCCCAACCCGACUUCCCUCUCUUGCUCCUCUACCCCUGUUCUGUCCAUCUUCCCGCUCCCUCACCCACCCUUAUCCCCUCCUCCCCCCAUCCUCCGUCUCUCUCCCUCCUUCCCCGCAGCCGCGGGGCUCGGGGCACCGGAGAAUAAAGCCCAGAGAGCCGGAGCCGGCGCCCCCGCUGGAGCCCCGCGCGGGGCCGGGCCCGCUCAUACCAUGGACUCGUGGGGUGACUUGGAAGGGACGGCGAAAACUCUCUGGACUCUGUUGUCCCAUCUCACGUCAAAGGACACGUUCAAAACUGCCUCCUGACCCUCAUGGAAUGGCAGUGGCUGUCAGGAGCUCUCUCAGGAGUGCUUGGAGACCAGGAUCAGGAAGCCAGCCCUGGCGAGGAGGAGGAUGAGGAGGUGUGGGAGGAUGGAGACAGCGGCCACCAAAGGCUAGGGAAGGCCCAGGUCCAGGACAGGAAAAACCACUUAACUCAUCCCAUCUUUGCCCAAAGCUUUGGUGUUUGAGCAGCCAAACCCAACGGGCUCCUGCCUGCACUGGAGGGCCCCUGGUCCUGCCCGUGGUGUGGGAUGCUGGAAUUGCCUCCCUGGAUGUGCACUGAGCUCUCGCUGCAGGGAACUGCCAGGCCUUAAUGGUGGCACCAAGGACAAGAGGGGCUGGUUCCCUCCCUGGGGCUCAGCCUCCUCCCGCCCCGCCUUCCCAGCCAGCCGGGCCACACGGAGGGAGCACCAGGAACAUUCCUGGCAGGGAGCAGGAGUCCCCGAGGGCUCCGUGCAGCUCCGGGCCCGAGAAGCAGCCCCGGGCUCGGCCCCCACCGUGAUUUUGGGCUGUGAGCACUCACCUGCAGGAAACGCCCCUCUGCAGGUGGGACCAGCCCUGACACUCUCCAGAACUUUGGCCUUGGACCAAGGGAGCCCUCAGGACUUGUCUUGCUCGUUUCUCCCUGGAAAGGGACAUGGCAUCAGCACCUUUACAGCCAUCAAGGAAAUGCUGGAAAGGGCAGGAAAUCAGGGUUGUUGGAAGGAUUUUGUGCUGUCACACAACUGUUCACCUGUGUUGUUCCAUGGUCAGGUGCUGGCUAUGGAGCUCUGCCUUAUGGACAUUCCAGGGGCUGGUGUGUAAGGCAGCAUUGGCAUAAAAGAAAGAGCUGCAUUGGCCUAGGAAUUGCCCUGCUCGAACUUGGCAUUCCCCUCCCAGGCAGGACAUUGCCGUGACCUGAGAUUGGCUUGGUUGGAGCAGGGUGCUGAAAAUGCCCAGGUUGUGGGUUCAAUCCCCAGCUGAGCCCUUCACAUAAGGGUUCAGCCUGGUACUCCUUGUGUGUGCCUUCCCACUCAGGAUAUCUGAUGACCUGGUGUUGUGGUUUGAGGGGAAAUGGUUUUUUUCGCCAGGCUCAGACCAUGACACCUGGAAAUAAACAAUGAGCAGUUUUCACUGGUUUUUUAAA